CACAAAGGGAUGAGAAGUUGUCACCUGCAGGCCACAACAUGACAUAAAAACUGGAAGGUGAGCAAAAAAACACAGAAAAAUGUACUUAAAUGUCUAUAUUUUGCAUAUAUUUGUCAUAAUCACAUCAAAAAAGUUCAUUUUGUUUAAUUAAAAGUCACCAAUUUGGUCAUUUUCAUGUUUUACUUUAUUGGGGCUGUCUGCUUCAAAGCUAAAGCAACGGCGCCCUCUGCUGGCCAAGACCCCUCCCUGCAACAAUGCUGUUACCAUGGUUACAGAGCGUUCCGCCUGUGGCCGUAUUUGGUUCUGCUUGUUCUGUUUAUUCUGUGUUUUGUGCAUUUGGUUUCCAUCAGAGUGGGACCUCUGUGUUCUUGUGCAUCUUUGUGUGUCUGUUUGUUUGGGAUUGUUAUCGCUGCAGAGCAUCUACAAACGCAGAGUCUGCAGGAGAGCUGCCUCCAUCAUAAAGGACCCCACCCACCCGCAACGAGGACUGUUCACUCUCCUCCCCUCGGGACGGAGGUACAGGAGUGUGAAGUGCAGGACCACCAGAUUUAGGAACUCUUUCUUUCGUCUGCCAUCAGACACCUUAACAGCUGACAGGAGUCUGGAACAACAAACUGCAUCCUUAUUGUUAAUAAUCGUUUAUUAUUACUGUUCUUGCACAUUUAGAAUUUGCACAACGUCUUUAUUUUGCAUAGUUAUAUGUAAAUUUAUGUUAUGUGUGAAAUUUCAGUAUCCUGUACACGUCCUAACUUCUAUUUUCAGGUGUGGUGCAUGUAGGUGUGGCCCCCAUUGGACCCACGCUGAUGGAGACGACCUUCAAAAGCACCAUGUGGACCUGCAGACCAUGAGAAGGGGGCGGGGCUACAAUCAGUUUCACUUUAUUAGUUAAGGUGUGGUGCAUGAAGGCGUGGCUGCCGUUGGACCCACACUGAUGGAGACGACCUUCAAAAUGCACAAAAGCAGACCAUGAGAAGGGGGCGGGGCUACAACCAGUCUCCACUGCAGCUUGGCGCUCUCCUCCACCUGUUUUGCUGUAGUUUCUGUGGAUGUGCAGGAGAACGGCCUGGAGGAACACCAUCCCCGAUCCAGUGAGUUCCUGCUUCUGUCUCUGUCUCUACGGGUUUGCCUGGGGCAUCCGCAUCAUCGAAGGGGCGGAGCUUUGCCAAUACAUCUGGCUCCUGGUUAAAGGAAUAGUUAAGGUAAAAAAAAAAGGGUAAGAACAUUUUAUAAGUAAAGCGAAAAAAAGGUUAAGAUAAAGUUAAGGUUAAAAACAAAAUAUAAACAGUUUAGAUAAAGUUAGGAUAAAAAAGGUAAAAAACAA